rnacentral:rRNA from 1 species
AUUACCCUACGGGACGCAGCAGUGAGGAAUAUUGGUCAAUGGCCGAGAGGCUGAACCAGCCAAGUCGCGUGAGGGAUGACGGCCCUACGGGUUGUAAACCUCUUUUGUCGGGGAGCAAGACCCGCCUCGUGCAGGCGGAGCGAGAGUACCCGAAGAAAAAGCAUCGGCUAACUCCGUGCCAGCAGCCGCGGUAAUACGGAGGAUGCGAGCGUUAUCCGGAUUUAUUGGGUUUAAAGGGUGCGCAGGCGGAUCAUCAAGUCAGCGGUAAAAUAGUGGGGCCCAA